AUCGUUCCAAAGAUAAUGACGGCGUCUGUGAGGACCCAGUACACUGAGCUUUUUAUGGCACGUAUUUGGUGGGAGUCUAGACCCGGUCUUGUCCAUAUUUUUUUAAUCAAGGUUGACCUCGGAUCAGGUAGGAAUACCCGCUGAACUUAAGCAUAUCAAUAAGCGGAGGAAAAGAAACCAACAGGGAUUGCCUCAGUAACGGCGAGUGAAGCGGCAACAGCUCAAAUUUAAAAUCUGGCCUUUUUAGGUCCGAGUUGUAAUUUGUAGAGGAUGUUUUGGGUACCGCAGCCAUUUAAAUUUCUUGGAACAGAAUGUCAGAGAGGGUGAGAGUCCCGUCUGGAAUGGCAGUAGGGCCUGUGUAAAACUCCUUCGACGAGUCGAGUUGUUUGGGAAUGCAGCUCAAAAUGGGUGGUAAAUUUCAUCUAAAGCUAAAUAUUGGCCAGAGACCGAUAGCGCACAAGUAGAGUGAUCGAAAGAUGAAAAGUACUUUGAAAAGAGAGUUAAACAGUAUGUGAAAUUGUUGAAAGGGAAGCGCUUGCAACCAGACUUGAGUGUAAUGGUUCCCCCUUGCUUUUGCUUGGGCUACUCUAUUAUAUUCAGGCCAACAUCGGUUUUAAGGGUUGGUUAAAGGCCUUAGGAAUGUACCUUCCCCCGGGAAGACUUAUAGCCUAUGGUGUCAUGCAGCCUCCUAAGACCGAGGAAUGCGCUUCGGCGAGGAUGUUGGCGUAAUAGUUGUAAGCGACCCGUCUUGAAACACGGACCAACCUAAGUGAGAAGAAA
rnacentral:rRNA from 1 species